rnacentral:rRNA from 1 species
UACGAAGGGGUGCAAACGUUGCUCGGAAUUAUUGGGCGUAAAGCGCACGUAGGCGGUUUGUUAAGUGAGAGGUGAAAUCCCAGAGCUCAACUCUGGAACUGCCUUUCAUACUGGCAAGCUAGAGUCCGGAAGAGGUAAGUGGAACUCCUAGUGUAGAGGUGGAAUUCGUAGAUAUUAGGAAGAACACCAGUGGCGAAGGCGGCUUACUGGUCCGGAACCUGACGCUGAGGUGCGAAAGCGUGGGGAGCAAACAGGG